rnacentral:rRNA from 1 species
AUUAGUCAAUGCUCGCAAGAGUGAACUAGCUAACUGAAAUCACAUAAGUGCCUUAUGUGAUGUCGUAAGGGAGAAUUAUGAUGUUACCUUACUAAUAGUGUCGUCUAAAACUGGUGCCAGAAGACUCGGUAAGGCCAGAGACACGAAUGUUAAUCGUCUUAAACAGGCGUAAAGGGUUUGUAGGCUGCUUUGAAAGUAUUGAUUUAAUAGCCUAAGUUAUCUAAAUUAUUUUACUAUUAAAUAUUUAUAAAUUACAAAAAUAAUUAAUAACUUAAUUACGAUAAUAUCAGGUUAGCCACGAUCUAAUAUUAUCUAAAAAAUAAUUAAUAACUUAAUUACGAUAAUAUCAGGUUAGCCACUAUCUAAUAUUAAAUUAUACACUAUUUUUUAAUGGAUAGUAAUAAUUAUAUAUGAUUAUAUACUAUCUAUAUUUUAUUACACAUUAUUUUAUAGUGGAUAGUGAUGAUGUAAUCAAUCCCUAAUCGUUUUUAUUAUAAAUAACUAGAUAUACUUUUCGUAGAUCAAUAUGAAUUAAAGCUAGAAUCUAAAAGAGGAUAUUUACGAAACAAUGCUUGGUCGAGGUCUGAUAUCCUAAGACACCAAGUGGAGUUCUAACGGCGUAGGCAUUUAUCCAAUAAAGAUUGACGCUGAGAAACGAAGGUGAGGAUAGGAAAUAGGAUUAGAUACCCAGAUACCCCUCUCUGUCAACGAUGAAUGGUAGUUGUUAGUAGUAAACUAGUGACGAAGUUAACACGAUAACCAUUCCGCCUUGUGAGUACGACUGCAAAGUUGAAAACAAAAAAAUUAGUCGGUCUCGGAGCAAACGAAGUGAAGUAUGUUAUUUA